rnacentral:rRNA from 1 species
UACGUAGGGUGCGAGCGUUGUCCGGAAUUACUGGGCGUAAAGAGCUCGUAGGCGGUUUGUCGCGUCUGCUGUGAAAUCCCGAGGCUCAACCUCGGGCCUGCAGUGGGUACGGGGCAGACUGGAGUGCGGUAGGGGAGAAUGGAAUUCCUGGUGUAGCGGUGGAAUGCGCAGAUAUCAGGAGGAACACCGAUGGCGAAGGCAGUUCUCUGGGCCGUAACUGACGCUGAGGAGCGAAAGCGUGGGGAGCGAACAGG